rnacentral:rRNA from 1 species
CUUGCUUUCGAUGGGCGUCGACCGGCGCACGGGUGAGUAACGCGUAUCCAACCUGCCCAUCACUUGGGGAUAACCUUGCGAAAGUAAGACUAAUACCCAAUGACGUCUCUAGAAGACAUCUGAAAGAGAUUAAAGAUUUAUCGGUGAUGGAUGGGGAUGCGUCUGAUUAGCUUGUUGGCGGGGUAACGGCCCACCAAGGCGACGAUCAGUAGGGGUUCUGAGAGGAAGGUCCCCCACAUUGGAACUGAGACACGGUCCAAACUCCUACGGGAGGCAGCAGUGAGGAAUAUUGGUCAAUGGACGAGAGUCUGAACCAGCCAAGUAGCGUGCAGGAUGACGGCCCUAUGGGUUGUAAACUGCUUUUAUAAGGGAAUAAAGUGAGCCUCGUGAGGCUUUUUGCAUGUACCUUAUGAAUAAGGACCGGCUAAUUCCGUGCCAGCAGCCGCGGUAAUACGGAAGGUCCGGGCGUUAUCCGGAUUUAUUGGGUUUAAAGGGAGCGUAGGCCGGAGAUUAAGCGUGUUGUGAAAUGUAGAUGCUCAACAUCUGCACUGCAGCGCGAACUGGUUUCCUUGAGUACGCACAAAGUGGGCGGAAUUCGUGGUGUAGCGGUGAAAUGCUUAGAUAUCACGAAGAACUCCGAUUGCGAAGGCAGCUCACUGGAGCGCAACUGACGCUGAAGCUCGAAAGUGCGGGUAUCGAACAGGAUUAGAUACCCUGGUAGUCCGCACGGUAAACGAUGGAUGCCCGCUGUUGGUCUGAAUAGGUCAGCGGCCAAGCGAAAGCAUUAAGCAUCCCACCUGGGGAGUACGCCGGCAA